rnacentral:lncRNA from 1 species
GGAAACAAGCUCCUCUGACAGCAAAGGUUUGGAGUCCAGCAGAGAGACCUCAGAGCAGCACGAAAGCAAAGAGAGACAGCAGCAACAGAAGAGAAGAGCCCGAGAGAAACAACAGAAAUCGUCUGUGGAUCUCUUUUGAGAACUGGAGUCACCCUAACAGGAAGCCUCAGCUAUAUUUCCCAGAGGACCCAGGCAGGCCUGCACAGGAGGAGGCAGUCCCUGAGUGUGUGACACAGACGCUCAUGGUCCACUUUAGCCUUCUGCAACAACAACAGAUUUGCAGCCACUCUGGGUACCGUGGUUCCAGCCCUCUCAAGGUCACUGCCUCCUGAAGAAACUGCACUGAGUCUGCCUUCCACCUGUCUGUCUCUGGACCAUCUUUCUUCACCAACUGUACUGCUCACGUGGGCCACCUGGCUUAAAUGGUUUUCCACUUCUCUUUUAAGACAUAAAACUUUGAAAUAGUGC